rnacentral:rRNA from 1 species
AGACUUGAAUCUCCUGAAUUACUCUGUAAUGGAGGAAGCCACUUCGGUGGCAGGAAGACAGGUGGUGCAUGGUUGUCGUCAGCUCGUGUCGUGAGAUGUUGGGUUAAGUCCCGCAACGAGCGCAACCCUUAUUGUUAGUUGCUACCAUUUAGUUGAGCACUCUAGCGAGACUGCCCGGGUUAACCGGGAGGAAGGUGGGGAUGACNUCAAAUCAUCAUGCCCCUUAUGUCUAGGGCUACACACGUGCUACAAUGGUCGGUACAAUGAGAUGCAACCUCGCGAGAGUGAGCAAAACUAUAAAACCGAUCUCAGUUCGGAUUGUAGGCUGAAACUCGCCUACAUGAAGCUGGAGUUGCUAGUAAUCGCGAAUCAAAAUGUCGCGGUGAAUACGUUCCCGGGUCUUGUACACACCG